rnacentral:tRNA from 1 species
GCCGAGGUGCUGGAACUGGCAUACAGGCCGGUCUCAAAAACCGGUGUCCUCACGGGCAUGAGGGUUCAACUCCCUCCCUCGGCACCA